UACGUAGGCAGCAAGCGUUGUUCGGAGUUACUGGGCGUAAAGGGUGCGUAGGCGGCUUCUUAAGUCUGGUGUGAAAUCUCCCGGCUCAACUGGGAGGGUGCGCCGGAUACUGAGGGGCUAGAGUGUGGGAGAGGAAAGUGGAAUUCCUGGUGUAGCGGUGAAAUGCGUAGAUAUCAGGAGGAACACCUGUGGUGUAGACAGCUUACUGGACCAUUUCUGACGCUGAGACACGAAAGCGUGGGUAGCAAACAGG
rnacentral:rRNA from 1 species